GAUCAAUGUCCAGCGGGAUAUCAUCAUUUUAGGCCAGGCGCUUGCGGCACUAAAGACUGCAUCUGCUGUGUUCCAAGGUCUCAAGAUGAGGGGUGAAACUGUGACCCUGAGCCACCGCCACCGCCUGCACGACCGCCGCCCUGACCGAGGACUGACCCUGCCCUGACCUGCCCUUGACCUGACCCGCCUCACCUUCAUGCACGGACUUCCUGCACGUGCGCCGUGCACGCUGAUCCUCUGAAGAGUAUUCAAUUCUUCUUCUUCUUGGGCUUGAUGCCAGAGCACCCUUCUGCAAAGAAAAACAAUUAUAAAAAAAUAUAUAUGCACAAACGUACAAAAGAGAUUACAAAAACUUAACAUUUCAGCAGACAUGAAUUUUGACUUUCGAAAUUCUAUGUAUGUUCAGCUCGCAAUAUGUGUGUACCAGCUGUUCAGAAUUAUGCUGCAAAUAAAAUAGAAGCAAUC